GGGAGGCAGCAGUGGGGAAUUUUGGACAAUGGGCGCAAGCCUGAUCCAGCAAUGCCGCGUGCAGGAUGAAGGCCUUCGGGUUGUAAACUGCUUUUGUACGGAACGAAAAGGUGCUUUCUAAUACAGGGCGCUCAUGACGGUACCGUAAGAAUAAGCACCGGCUAAUUACGUGCCAGCAGCCGCGGUAAUACGUAGGGUGCAAGCGUUAAUCGGAAUUACUGGGCGUAAAGCGUGCGCGGGCGGUUUUGUAAGACAGUGGUGAAAUCCCCGGGCUCAACCUGGGAACUGCCAUUGUGACUGCAAGGCUGGAGUGCGGCAGAGGGGGAUGGAAUUCCGCGUGUAGCAGUGAAAUGCGUAGAUAUGCGGAGGAACACCGAUGGCGAAGGCAAUCCCCUGGGCCUGCACUGACGCUCAUGCACGAAAGCGUGGGGAGCAAACAGGAUUAGAUACCCUGGUAGUCCACGCCCUAAACGAUGUCAACUGGUUGUUGGGGAUUUAUUAUUCAGUAACGAAGCUAACGCGUGAAGUUGACCGCCUGGGGAU
rnacentral:rRNA from 1 species